CUGUUUAGGGCUAAUACGAUUUCUUCGUCUAGAGUAGAAACUGGACUGGGCCUAAAGCUCGGUGGGUAAAUUUCAAUUUGCCCAUAAAAAAAAGAACCUGGGAAAAUCUCUGGACAGUUCAAAUAAAUAAGAAAAUGAAAUAAUCCCAAAUUACAAGACAAUUAGCAAAAUCUUUCCAAACCAUUUUUUACCAAUAAUCGUUCAUCCAUAUAACUUAUCCCAAACCCUUGUGGGAUUUUACUUGCUAUUCAUUUCCUUAUUAAUAAUCUAUUAAUCAGGGCAAUGAAGCAAUCGAAGGAUCCAUUCGAGGCAGCGUAUGUGGAGCAAGAAGAAUCGCCACCAGAAUCCCCAGUUGCCCAAGAUGAUUAUGACACUCAAGCUUCUAACGCUGCUGCUGCUGCUGAUGAUUCUCAGGGUGCUGUCGUUGGUCAAGAUGAUGAUGACCUUGGCGGUGGAGGCCGCAAUGAUUUUGCCCAUUCCUCUGACCACCCAUCUGCUUCGAGGCCUAUGUUGGGCUCUGCAAGAAGUAAGGCAAAGAAUAAAGACGAUGAUGAAGAGGAGGAGGAAGAUAACAUGGAUGUUGAGCUUUCGAAGUUGGCUUCUACUGCUGACCCUGAUAAAAUGGCAAAGAUGCAGACUAUUUUAGCUCAGUUUACUGAAGGACAGAUGAGUAGGUACGAAUCAUUCCGCAGAUCUGCACUGCAGAAGACUAACAUGAAAAGGUUGUUAGUGAGCAUCACUGGAUCCCAGAAAAUUUCUUUACCAAUGACGAUUGUAGUUUGCGGUAUAGCAAAAAUGUUUGUUGGUGAACUUGUUGAAACAGCCAGAAUUGUAAUGACGGAGAGGAAGGAAUCUGGGCCUAUCAGGCCUUGCCACAUAAGAGAAGCAUAUAGAAGACUAAAGCUUGAAGGCAAAGUACCGAAGAGAUCAGUACCAAGGCUCUUUCGGUAAAUGGAACCCAGGUGCAUAUUUGGUGGUUGCUUGCUCAGUUUUCUGGAAUUGAACUGUUAACACAUUUCUAAUCUGCAUGUUAAUCUUGUUUUUUGCAUUCGCCUUCAUUGUACCUAGUCUAGAAAGUUAAAUUUAGAAAACCUAGGUUGCCAAUUUGGAUGUCACAAACUGGUCACAAUGCGAUGCUUAUGAUUCAAAGGGCAGAAUUUGUACUAUUGUAGUUAGGACUUAGAAAUGCUUUCGGUGCCUCAUGGAUUUUCCUUUGUAAACAGAAAUAACAGCAAGGGCCUGAUCAUGCUGGUUUAUGCUGAGACCAAAAAAGAAGUUAGAAUUUUGCCCUGUUAGGGAAUGCCUUUGGGGGUGAUUUUUUCCUAACUGAGGCUAUAAAAAUGUUUGGAUAUCAUAAUUAUUAUGUGGGUUCCAUGUCAAAAUGAGGUAAAAUUUGUGCAUGUUUGGUAGUGUGUUUGCCUUGAAAAAGCAUUGAUUUAAUAUUUUUUUCUUUCCGAUGAUUUUGAUAUUCUGAUAUCAAAAACAAAUAUAAAAAAAAAUUAUUUUGAUGUAUUUUCAAGCAAAAACAUUUUUAAAAAGCAAACAAUUCUAGAAAGACACUUAACCAACAAUGAGUGAAUAUUUGCAAAUCUUAUUAUCAAUUACAAAAAUACCAUCUAGCACUUGCAAUUUGCUUAUGCAUAAAAUUUCUUCUGUCGUUUCUUCCUUCUUUUUUCCAAAACUAGCAGUUGAUGCAUUUUUACUAUUCACAAAUGCAUAUUAUUUAAGAUUACGGUUUCUUUAAUUUUUGUAUGGUUGAGAUUUUGAAUUUAUAAUGUAACGACAACAAAAAAAAUAAAGACAUUCCUUGAUCAUUGGAUUUAAUUUUAAAAAUUGGUAUAAAAAAAAAGCUUUGUAUUUUAAAUUAUAUACAAUUUCACAGGUAAUAGUUUUGUAGUAUUGUUAUAUUGGUUAUUCAUUAAUGAAAAAAUAAAUAAAAUCAAGACAUCCUUUUAUGUCAUUUGCUUAAUAUUUUUGAAAUAGCCUUUUGUUCAUUAACGAAAAACUAUCCUAACUCUUUUUUUCCCCUGUAAAAUGCAUUUCUACAAAUUUCACAUCUCAAUUUUAAAAGUCAAUAACAAUACAAGAGGCACGCGAAGAAGGGGCUGGACCAAAAGUCAAGGGGUUGGGAGAAAAGAGUGGGAAUAAACCCUUUUACAUUGUCAAGGUCACCUGAUUCAAGUUCAUAGAGCUGUGAAUCCUGCCAUGAACCCUGUCAACCAAAGGCCUGGUGACUUCUCCCCCUUUCCAGGAUGCACCUUGAUCUGCUGCUUAUACUGUAUUUCUCUUCCUCAAAAUUAGAAUUGGCAUUAGAUGCCUUCUCUGACACCGUAGUGAAUCAGUCAUGAGCCUUGAUUUGGUUUUCACUUCAAACAAACAUGUUGUGCUAGCAAAAGGAGUUUUUCUUCCAUGACUUCAAGUUACCAUGACUCUGGUCAAAAUUAAUUUAUUUUCUGUAAAAUGAGUGUUGGAUCCUUUUUCCCAUCAAGUAUGCGCUUGCUUGGGUGUGUGGUAGAUGUUAUUUUCAGGAAACAUAAUUUGGAGUUUUUUAAAGCAAGCAGAAGAUUGCUUUGAGGAAACAUGAUCCUGCUUUAGUUUUAU